GUAGGUGGCAAGCGUUGUCCGGAAUUAUUGGGCGUAAAGCGCGCGCAGGCGGUUCUUUAAGUCUGAUGUGAAAGCCCACGGCUCAACCGUGGAGGGUCAUUGGAAACUGGAGAACUUGAGUACAGAAGAGGAAAGCGGAAUUCCACGUGUAGCGGUGAAAUGCGUAGAGAUGUGGAGGAACACCAGUGGCGAAGGCGGCUUUCUGGUCUGUAACUGACGCCGAGGCGCGAAAGCGUGGGGAGCAAACAGGGAUUAGAUACCCUGGUAGUCCACGCCGUAAACGAUGAGUGCUAAGUGUUAGGGGGUUUCCGCCCCCUUAGUGCUGCAGCUAACGCAUUAAGCACUCCGCCUGGGGAUACGGCCGCAAGGCUG
rnacentral:rRNA from 1 species